CUUGUGGUCAUUCCAUCUAUUUUCAUAAAUUUUUCGUAAUUUCCUCAGUUUCUUUUAGACUACAAGGAGAAAACUAUUAUAUACGGUUUAAACGCGGACGAUUGCAUAUGGCGGAAAUUUUUUGUUUUUAUUUUUUUCUACUGUAUAAAAAUUUCAAACGAAACGAGUGCGAUAAUCAUAAAAGUGACGAGUUGGUGUCGAAAUAAAAACGAAAACUAAAGAAGCGGCUAAGUUAAAGGCGCGACCAAGUGGAAAACGCAUAAAGUGAAGUGUUUUCUUUGUGUUCUCCAGUUUGCUGUGGUUCUUUUGAAUUUUAAUGCAAUAUCAAAGUAUAUUUAAAAAUAAUUUUACACAAUCAACAGUAUUUUAGUAGCGACAACAAAAAGAAAUACAUUUCUUUUUAUUGUGAUUUUUUCUAUAAACCAAAAAAAUAAAAGAUUGUUAAGCUACUUUGCCGUAAAUCGAAAAGCCUUUUAACAAAAAAAAAAAAAAAAAAAAAAAAAUUAAUAAAAAG